UACAGGGGGGGCAAGCGUUGUUCGGAAUUACUGGGCGUAAAGGGUCUGUAGGUGGCCAACUAAGUCAGACGUGAAAUCCCUCAGCUUAACUGGGGAACUGCGUCUGAUACUGGAUGGCUCGAGUGUGGGAGAGGAAUGCGGAAUUCCAGGUGUAGCGGUGAAAUGCGUAGAUAUCAGGAGGAACACCGAUGGCGAAGGCAGGUCUCUGGGCUGAAACUGACGCUCAUGCACGAAAGCGUGGGGAGCAAACAGG
rnacentral:rRNA from 1 species